rnacentral:rRNA from 1 species
UACGUAGGCAGCAAGCGUUGUUCGGAGUUACUGGGCGUAAAGCGUGCGCAGGCGGUUUUGUAAGUCUGUCGUGAAAUCCCCGGGCUCAACCUGGGAAUUGCGAUGGAGACUGCAAGGCUAGAAUCUGGCAGAGGGGGGUAGAAUUCCACGUGUAGCAGGUGAAAUGCGUAGAUAUGCGGAGGAACACCGAUGGCGAAGGCAAUCCCCUGGGCCUGUACUGACGCGUCAUUCGCACCGAAAAGCGU